UGCAGGAAUUGGGGCUGAUCUGAGAUCAGAAGGUGCAGGAAUUGGGGCUGAUCUGAGGUGUGAAGGUGCAGGAAUUGGAGCUGAUCUGA